UUAAUUUUCAUGAUGUUAUAUUUUUAUUUAAUCCAGUAUACAAAAACUAUUGUCAUUUUACUGUGUGAUCAUUAUGAAGAUUAUUGAGAUACUUUCCAUUUUGUCAUAGCAAGUGUUCAAUUUUCAGAUUAAAGGCUAGUCCUAGCAAAUCAAACAUACUGGGACAGAAGGAUUACAAUUCUGAGUACAGCCUGGUCCUCAUCAAGGGAACCUAUUAAAAAUAUAUUGAGAUUGAUUUACAACUCAUGUCAGUAUGGACCAACCACAUUGUGAAUGCUUUGUAACCACAUACGGUUUGCAUCUAUCACAGUGGACAAGGAUGCCACUUCAACUCAGAAGAGGAGAGUCCAUGUUAGGAAUAUUGUAUCUUGUAGAGCAUGAUAAGGAGAGAAAUGUAUGUUUGAAUUCAUUCACUGUUUAUCGAGCACCUCCUUUGUGCCAAGGGCUGUGGUCUAGGCCUUGCAGUCAACUCACUUAGUGACUUAGAGCAAGACUCUUCCAUUCUCGAGGUCUCAGACUUCCUGUCUUACCUUUUGAGAAGAUUAAGAUAUCUGGGACGAAAUGUGCAGCAGUCAGAGGAAAAAGUACCUCGGGAAAUUAUUUGCUUAAUGAAGAAGUCUUCAAAGAUCAUCGACACUAGUCACUUCCAUUGACUUGGUACCUGGAGUAGUCAUAGUCUCUUCAUUAUUAAUGUUAAAAACCACCCAACCUCAUCCAUGGAAGCAAUGAGUUGUCACACUCAUGUUGUCACUGAGACCUUGAUUUCAUCACAGUGUUACUGGCCAUCCUUAUGGGAGGUUCUAAAGAAGAGCUAAUAAAACAAGUCAUAAAUUCCAAGGGCUGCAAACAUGCCAUGUAGUCAUCACCAUCUAUCAGUCUACUUAACUCUGGGAAGAUGUGUUGCAAGGAGUGGUGCUGGGACUUCUUACUGCCACUGGGCUUGGAAAUGUAGUCACCUUGUUCACUUAUAGGAGUCCAUGACAUAGGUAUGACUUCAGCUUAAGGAGAAAAGGGAAAUAGAUCUGUACCCCCCCAGCCCCACCCCAGAAACCAAGUAACAUUCACCACUCCCAACAAGUGGGCUAUCCAAGGAAGUCAGGUUGCCAUUUCUCUGCUGGGAAAAUUAUUCUACACAAAUAUUUAGGAGGGAGAAGGACUCAGAAAGUAGAAGUGUUAGAAACUCAUUAAAUAGAUAACAAUCAGAAAAUCAACUUAGGUUUCAGAACAAACAGGCAUGGCAAUUGUCACGCAGAGGGACCACAAGGCAUGACAGUUGCUAAUAAAAGUUCAAGUGAUGAGCACUGAAAAAUAAUCCCUGACUUCAGUCCAUGGCCUUUAGCUUAGCAAAGUGCUUUCACAGCAUUGGAGAUGCUUAGAGUGAGUGGUAGCCUGUGUGUUCUGAUGCUCAAAUUAUAGAAAAUGAGGUGGUGAAUGAUAUGGAACCGGUAAAUGGCAAAACCAUCCAUAGGCAACAUGAUUUUUUGCUUUUGUUUGUCCUUUCCACAUCUUGUUGUUCAGACAAAAAGAAAAAAAGAAAAAAAAAAGUAGCCCCACUGCCUUUUCCAACUUGGAGAAGCUAUAGAGCUUUGUGGAAGGGUGUGUGCAGAGAGGGCUUGUCUGUUGAGCAGUAUUCUAGCUAGCUCAAGAACAGAAGGAGGCAGGGCUCUAUCCUUUCACACAUUAUUUUUUUUCCUAUAGGGAAGAUAAGAGGAAAGGAAAAUGGCCUCUCUUUUUUCUAUAGACACAGUCAUGUUUGCAAUGGCUUGGCUUCCAGUGAUGACAAAGUGAAACAAUAGCUGGACUUUUGAAUUUGAUCUGUUCCCAGGGCACAAUCCUCUUUCAAUGUUGGGCAUUAUAUGCAAAACAAAGGUACCUAUUGGUCCUAAAAUCAUGUGGGAAAACAACUGGUACCUAUGAUGCCGGAUGUUGCUAAACUUUGAUGCUCAAUAGAUUGGGUAUAGUCAAUGCCUUUGUUAUGCAUUUUCUUUUUAUAAAUAAAGAUACAUUUAUUUUAUUUUUAUGUGUAUGAGUAUUUGGCCUACACACAUGUCUAUACACCAUAUGUGUAUCUGGUACCCAAGAAAGUUAGAGAAGGGUGUUGGAUCCCAAGGCAGUUUGAGAAGGGUGUUGGAUUCCCUGGAACUGGAGUUAUGAAUAGUGUUAGAAAUUGAACCUGGGUCCUCUGCAAGAGCAACCAGUGUUCUUAACUAUUGAACUAUCGCUCUGGCCCCUUUGCUUAUAUUUUCAAUUACACUGGCUUUACUGGUACAUAAUCUCAUCCUAAACCAGAGGUCAUCUGUUUUUCCAGUGCUACUGGCCACAAAAGACCAUCACUAAGAAACAUUUCCCUGGGAGUGGACAUAAUGAAUUUAAUUUAAAAGGAAAACGUAUUCUAGAUUGCAUCUAUGUGAGACACACCCUUCUUUUCAUAACACUCUUAAUAGUUAAACAAACCUUCCCACAUACUGGCACAAAAGAGAUAUGUAGACCAGUGGAAUAGAAUAGUGAACCCAGAAAUAAACCCACACAGAUACAGUCACCUACACUAGAAAAAAGAAGACAGCAUCUUCAACAAAUGAUCCUGGGAAAAUUACUUCCACAUGUAGAAGAAUGAAACUAAACUCCUAUAUCUUGAACAAAUAUUCACAAUGAAUCAAAGAUAUAAGGCUUGGGGACUGGAAAGAUGGCUCCAUGGUUAAGAGCACUUGCUGCUUUUGGAGAAGACCCAGGUUUGAUUCCCAGCACCCAUGUGGUGGUUCACAACUGUCUGUAACUGUAGUUGUAGGGAAUCUGAUGCUCUCUUCUGGUCUCUGCAGGUACCAGGCAUGCCAAAAGUGCACAGACCAGUAAAACUCUCAUACACAUUAAAAAAGAAAAGAAAAAAAGGCAUAUAUGUGGUCUAAAGCUUUGAAACUUCUAGGGGAAAACACUUUAAGAUAUAGGCACACAUAAGAACUUUUUAAAAAGAACUUCAGUUCAUUUUCCAGUGGCACAGGAAAUAACUCAAAUAAUUGACAAAUGACAUCACAUGAAAUUAAUAAGCUUCUGCACAAUGAAUGAAAUAAUCACCAGAGUGAAGUGGAAGCUUACAGAAUAGGGAAAGACCUUUGCCAAUUGUAUCAGGGGUUAAUAUCUUAAAGAUAUAAAAGACUAAAAAAGUAGACACCAGAUUUUUUUCCACAGCAAUGGGCUACUGAACUGAAUAGACAGUUCUCAAAAGAAAGCACACAGAUGGCCAGCAAAUGUUUGGAAAAUGUUCAACAUCCUUAACCAUCAGAGAAAUUCAAGUUAAAACUGUUUUGGGAAGCUAGAGGUUGCUCAGUGAUUGAGAGCUAUGUGUGAUAAUACUGUUAGUCGAAAGGCCUGGAGUUCAGUUCCCAGCACCCAUGUCAGCAGCUCACAGCUCCUAUAACUCCAGUUCCAGGGGUAGAGUCCAGUACCUUUAGCCUCUGCACAGACCCACACACAGACACAUGUUUAUACACAUAACUAAAAAUAAAAUAAACCUUUAAGAGAAACCUGUUUUGAGAUUCUGUUUCACCCUAGUCGGAAUGGCUAGCAUCGAGAAAACGAUUGUCGGCAGGAACACAGAGAAAGAAAAAUCCUAUUGGGGGUGUAAAUUGGUGUAGCCACUAUGGAAAUCAAUACAGAGAUUUUCUCAAAUAAAUAAAUAAAUAAAUAAAUAAAUAAAUAAAUAAAUAAAUACAUCGACCACAUGGGCCAUAGAUAGCAUUGAGUCUAUACCCAAAGGACUCAGCAUUCCACAAUCCUUUGUUUAUUGCUGCAUCAUUCACACUAUCUAGGAUAUGGAGCUAGCUUAGAUGAAUGGAUAAAUAAAAUAAUACAUAAAUACAACAAAAUUUUAUUCAGCUGUAAAGAGAAAUGAAAUAACGGCCUGUGCAGGAAAAUGGAUGGAAUUAAACAUCCCAUGUUAAGCAAAUUAAGCCAAACUCGGACAAAUCUCAAAUUAGAACCUAGAUUUGACUUAGAGUUAUAGACACACUUGCACCUUCCCUCUCGGGUGUGUGUGGGGGGGGGGUGUGAGUGGGUGGGUGUGUCUAAAUCAGCAGUGGGAGGAGAGGGUAACUGGAUCUAUGUGACAUGAAGGCAGAGAAGGGCUGCUGGGGAGGGAGUCAGAAAAAGUGGGGGAGGAAUAGAGGCAGAGAGGGAGGAGGGGUUGAGAAGAGCAAUGCAUGAAUAUAGCACAAUGAACCUAUUACUCUUGGUGCUAACUUGAAACAUGACUUAUUUUUUAGAAAAGCCUUUCCACAGACCCACAGAUCUAUGAAUGCAGCAGUUCUGUGGGUGAAGGAGGGAAAUCUUAUUUGUUUGUGCAUUGGCAGCAAACAAAUACCUGUUGAGUGAGUAAGCAAAUCAAUCUCCAUUUUACAGGUAAUAAAACUGAGGCCCAAAGCAGCUGUGUGGUUUGUCUCAGUGAGGGAACCAUGGCUGAGAUCUGUAUUUUCUGAACUCAAGUCUUAUGAGGAUCCUGUCUAAUCUCUCUCUUGAAAAAUCUGCUCCACGGGGGAUAUAGUUACACUUUUCCUGUAUGAUUUUUCAUGAAACGGGGACUCAAGAGUACCGAAGGUCUCUGUAGUUGUCCCUAAUCACUGGCAUAGCUACAAGUUAAAUCAUUAUUCACUCCCCCUGGAAAAGCCAUAAAAAAUAUCAAAUUAGCAUUGGCUUCCAAAGUAGCCCAAGGCAGAGUGGAAAAUGAUAGGGAACAGUAGCCAACUUUCCAAUUAUCUCAUCAAGAAAUCAAAGCAGAAGAGCUAAUCCAUGAGCCACCAAUCACAAAUGUAAAAUAAUAACUGCUUGGUGGAGAAAGCAGAAAAUAAACAUGUGGGAAAUCCCCCCAAGCAGCACCUGGUAUUAAUGUCUCUCCCAGAUGGGAGGGCCAGAUGGCCCCACAAAGAGCGUUUAUUUAUUCUCCAGGAGUUUCAGUAUUGAAGACAGAAAUAAGAAAUGGCUUCAUUUUGUAUGUUAAUAUGAAGUUUUUGAGAUUGUAAUAAACUUGCAUCAUUUCCCCCUUCCCUUUCCUCCCUCCAGGCCUUCCCAUAUACCCUUCCUUGCUCUCUUUCAAAAUCAUGGCUGCAGAGGUCUUUAUUACCAAACAUCCCAGGAGGAAUGGAUGACAGAGUCAGGGGUGAGGGGAGAAUGUGGCUACCAUAAAUGCAAAUGUUUUGGGAGAGGUGUUCACAUUGUUUUUCUUUUUGGGAAGAAUUCAAGUACUAAUGGGUGGUCUCUGCCAGAGGCCAAGGAAAUCUUAUUAGACAUUUCCCAGGACUCCACUCACCAGACUGAAGAAGAAUGUAAAAUGACAAGAUAGCCAACAUCUCUAAAACAUUGCUGCCACUGCUGCCGCUGCUGCUGCUGAUGGUGAUGAUGGUGAUGAUGGUGAUGAUGCUGAUGGUGAUGAUGCUGAUGAUGCUGAUGAUGCUGAUGCUGUUGUAACUGAACCUGCAUCUGUCUUCAGUGCUAGCAAAUCCAUCCUGUGAAACACCAUUUCCUUUUUCUAACUUCUACAAAGCGCUGCUUUAUGCUAAGCCCAGACUAGAGCUCAUCUCAACCAAGGCGAAGCCCUUCAGUGCACCAGGUGGUCAAUGACUAACCACAGACUAUCCUGGCAGAAAAUAGCUGUGAAAACCAGCUGGGAUUCCAGACCUACCAACACCAGGAACACCUUCCCGGACACAGAUGAGGCUUGAAGGCUGGACCCCAGGGAUGUUCUGAUCUGAGGAGGUACUUCCUCUGGAACCAUUCCUUUAAAAUUUUAUUGUCCCAAAUCGGGGGAGAAUGAAAGACCUGCUGAGGUCAGUGCUAGGUUGUCAAGCCAACCUUUAGUGCUGUUGCUGAGUGUCUUAUUCUACCCUGCAACUUUAGGACCUGCAGAGCAAGGGAUUCCCUGAGAAACCUUCGGGAUCAGCUGACUCCCUUCCUCCUUUCAGGCUGCACAGCAACCCCACCAAGCCACCCCUCACUUUUAAUUUUUUUAAGUUAGGAAAACCCAAAAUUUAUUCAAAGAAAACAAUCUUAUCAGAGUUUAAAAGAAAACUUCCAGGGCAGGCAAGCUGCAAAUCUCAAAAUCUCAACAUUGCCUGGAGGAGGAGAAUGGAGAAGGGGAAAAAAAAAAAAAAACCCAAGUGUGCCUGUUUGAGUUGAGUAGGCAUGGAGACCAGCAACAUGGUGAGCACACAGACAUAUGGGAGGGAGGCGAGUUUUAGAGAGAGAUUGUAGAUGCCCCAAGUACCAGAAAAAGCAUACGUAGGCUCCAUCCAGCAUCUGAAAGAGACAAAAGAGAAGAAAAAGAAAUAGUUAAUGCCUUUCUGAGUCAAGACUCAGAAACGCCAACAGACACUGAAGAACCUCAUGACAGCUAAUGGCGACUAUCCCAUGUCUGUGCUCUUGUCCCAGCAUGUUAGCUUUAAUGCGUGCUUUCCCAGCAGUAAGUCCCACCCAUCUGAGACCUCAGAGUACUGAACAUACAAUCAGAGAACAUAAGGCCAGUAAGUGGACAAGAUGGGUGGCAACGUGAAGCAUCUGUAGAUUGACAAACGGUCUUUGACUAGAUGGCCUCUCCAGUGGAAGACACAGAAAUUUGCAGCCAGGGGAAAGUUCAAAUCCAACUUUCUGCUUCUUGUAGUAAGAAAACAGACCCGGAGACCAAGAGUAACCCACCCAAAAGUGCAGUUACGUAUAUGUAGAAGGAUUUUGACUUUCCACUUCAAAUGGCUUAGCUGUCACACUGAACAUAAACAGCAGGCUAGUGAGUACAGCAGGUACACCAGCCAGCUGGGUCUCCAAGACCAGGAGACCACAGCAAGUCCUGUUCCUCCAGUAUUCCUUGUUCAUUUACAGCCUGGGUUUGGAUUGCUGAGUCACCAAGAUCUCUUUCUGCCUGACAUUCUGUAAUGGUUCUGGGGUUAGACACUCCAGGAAUCGUGCUGUACCAACCCCACCACCACCACCACCACGUUGCAGAAGGGUUUUAUACAGUGUCAACAGAAACCAAAGUAAUGUACACACAUGCCAACUGUUUCUUGUAUUAUUGUACAAGAAGGAAUUUUGAGGAUGGGAUUGACACCAGACAAUGGCUUGCUAUUUGUGAUGGAUGAAUUAGUAACACUAACACAUCUCAGAUUCCCAAAAGGCAUGUUGGCACAUUGCAGGACCAGAAAACAUCUACCCACUCGUCCCUAUAGAGGGCAUUCCUAACCCCAGGCCAUGGCUUUCUCAAUGCCAACUACACACUGCUGUAAGGUUGCUAUCAUGUCUUGUUUACCAUGGUGACUGGCAGGUGUAUCUUCUUCUUAAUGACCAACAAACCGAGCGUCAUCUUUGGAAACAGGCUAGCAGAACAGAAAUGAGGCUGUGAUGUGCGUGAAACACCUCACUUUGGGUUAUCUUGUUACUUGGGCACACCUCUUCCUUCCUCCUUAUACCCAAAGGGGUGUGAAGGAAGAGCAUUUUCCAAACUAUUCUCCGUGUGUGUGUGUGUGUGUGUGUGUGUGUGUGUGUGUGUGUGUGUGUGUGUGUACACGCGCAUUGUUUCACAUAUAAACAAUGCCCUUGGGUGAUGUAGACCAUGAGACAUGCUGCACCUUUGGAGACUCACAUGGACUUCAUAAAGACUCAAAAAUCCUACAAUGAAAACAUCUGAUUGAGUUUUAACCAAAUUUCCCCAACAAUUGUUGGCCUCUUCCUCUUCAGAUCUGAAAAAAAAAAAAACUGGUGUUCUAGAGCAUACAAUUUUGCAAGCACUGGAUUAGAUAACCCUGAAAUGCUUUUGUAAACCAUUCUCUCUCAUCUGGAGGUCAUAGAGUCUGUGGACUUUAGAGUUAGAUGGACCCAGGUUCAGAUCUUCAUUUUGCUCUUUAAUAGCUGUGUGGCCUUGGGCAUGGCCCUUAAAGUUUCUCCCCAGGAUUUUAUCUAUAGGGUGGGCUUUGCGAUGCCUACCUGCUGGGAGCUAUUGAUGGUGCUAAAUAAGGUAAUAGACUCAAGUAUCGGUAACAGUGGUUGGCAUGCUCUAGGCCCAUAGUAAACUCAGUUCUCUGCUCAUUACACACGUUCUUCUACACCCUUCCCUGUCUCUGCUGCUUCAGACAUAGCUGUUAUCAGGGAAGACCAUAGCAGAGAGGUAAGCCAAGGCCAGGCCUUCACAUGACCCUUUGAUGUUCUUUGGAUUUCAUGGACCAGGUGCUUGGGAGGGAGAUCUGGGUGAAGGGGCCACAGGGUAGGUGGCAGGGAAUCCUUCUUUUGUUUAUCAACCAAGUGAGUCACUUGUGCUAGGCAACUAGGUACUGUUGGGGAUUAAGAGAAGUUGCAAGAAUACUUUCCAUUUGUUCCAGAAUAAUGCCCACAACUUACUACUGUGAUAGCAAACUGAUUCUCAAGGCCCCAUGUAAGGCAAAGUUUUGUGUUUGCCCAGGCAAGAACCAAACAUUCAGGAGGAGCUGGGUUGGGACUCUGAAAGGGUGAGAUUAAGAAGGCUUCGAGCAACUCUGAACAGCCCAUAGCCAUAGUGGGAGAUGCUGGGAAACAAAGCCACUGCCUGACAAACACACAUCAAAGCCUCGGUUUGGUGGCAUCAUGACUGCUGAGGGGACAGACACAAGACGUCUACAAGGGAGGGAAGGACAGAUGGAGCUUGGGUCUUGCUUCCAACACGGGAUUCCGAUCAAUAAGUUGGGGCCCCAAGCUUCUUCAGGAAAACAGUUUUUAUUUGUGCUAGCAGAUUCAUCCAAACUUCUGUUUCAAAGAACCAAGCCCCAAAGGCUCACUAGACGGAGCCUUUUGGAUUUUGCGUCUUUGUCUCCCAUACAUGGAAGGGAAACUAAUCACCCCACAUCAUCCCCAAGACUUGUGAACGACUGCUCUUUCUGUACUGAGUACUCACAGAUGUGGAAACAGACCCACAGGGAACUCACGGGGCUAUCGGCAAUAGAGGCACCAUCAGUCCCAGCACCAAGUCCCAUCAGGGAAGUAGCCAAACUCUG
ensembl:lncRNA